GACGAACGCUGGCGGCGUGCUUAACACAUGCAAGUCGAGCGGUAAGGCCCUUUCGGGGGUACACGAGCGGCGAACGGGUGAGUAACACGUGGGUGACCUGCCCUCAGCUCUGGGAUAAGCCUGGGAAACCGGGUCUAAUACUGGAUAUGACUCCAUGACGCAUGUUGUGGGGUGGAAAGCCUUGUGCGGCUGAGGAUGGGCCCGCGGCCUAUCAGCUUGUUGGUGGGGUGANGGCCUACCAAGGCGACGACGGGUAGCCGGCCUGAGAGGGCGACCGGCCACACUGGGACUGAGACACGGCCCAGACUCCUACGGGAGGCAGCAGUGGGGAAUCUUGCGCAAUGGGCGAAAGCCUGACGCAACGACGCCGCGUGAGGGAUGACGGCCUGGUGU
rnacentral:rRNA from 1 species